ensembl:snoRNA SNORA16A small nucleolar RNA, H/ACA box 16A
CUUAUGGCCCUAUCGAAGCUGCAUCUGUCUCUUGCGUGGCUGAUGUGGUCAAAAAGGUGCCGAGAGUGAUAGUUUUCCUCGACGGUCGCUGUUCAGUUUGUCCCCUAGGACUGCCCGGCAACACUUUCAGGAAAAUACAUGC